rnacentral:rRNA from 1 species
AGUGCGAGUGAAGGCGCAACAGCUCAAACGAGAUAUCUGGCCCUUUUGGGUCCGAAUUGUAAUUUGUAGAAGGUGCUUCGGAUUUGAUAAUGGUUCAAGUUCCUUGGAAUUGGACAUCAGAGAGGGUGAUAAUCCCGUUUCGACCAAUUAUCUGUCCAUGUGAAGCCCUUUCGACGAGUCGAGUUGUUUGGGAAUGCAGCUCAAAAUGGGUGGUAAAUUUCAUCUAAAGCUAAAUAUCAGCCAGAGACCGAUAGCGCACAAGUAGAGUGAUCGAAAGAUGAAAAGCACUUUGAAAAGAGAGUUAAAAAGCACGUGAAAUUGUUGAAAGGGAAGCGCUUGCAACCAGACUUGCUCGUAGUGUUCAGCCUCCUGAAAAGGUGGUGCACUCUCUGCGGGCGGGCCAACAUCGGUUUUAGCGGUCGGACAAAAGCUCGAGGAAAGUAGCUCUUCUCGGAGAGUGUUAUAGCCUCUUGCAUAAUGCGGCCAGUUGAGACCGAGGAUAUAUGCGCUUAUGCUAGGAUGUUGGCGUAAUGGUUGUUAGCGACCCGUCUUGAAACACGGACCAAGGAGUCGAGAAAUCAUGCGAGCGUUAGGGUGUUAAACCCUUCCGCGUAAUGAAAGUGAACGUAGGUGGGAGCCUUUUUGGCGCACCAUCGUCCGAUCUGAGUUCGCGAGGAUUUGAGUAAGAGUGUGAUUUCUCGGACCCGAAAGAAGGUGAACUAUUGCUGACUAGGGCGAAGCCAGAGGAAACUCUGGUGGAGGCUCGCAGCGGUUCUGACGUGCAAAUCGAUCGUCAAAGCUGGCAAUAGGGGCGAAAGACUAAUCGAACCUUUCUAGUAGCUGGUUCCUGUGGAAGUUUCCCUCAGGAUAGCAGCAACGAAACCUAGUCUCAUGAGGUAGAGCAACGAUUAGAGGCCUUGGGGUUGAAACAACCUUAACCUAUUCUCGAACUCUGAAUAUGUGAGAGGUCCUUGUUACUUAGNUGAACGUACACUUUUGGAAUUAUCGUGCUGCUGCCCUCAUAUUGGUUAAGUUUGCCCGCCGACACACGGAGAAACU